CCUACGGGCGGCUGCAGCUAGGAAUCUUGGGAAUGGGCGAAAGCCUGACCCAGCAACGCCGCGUGGGCGACGAAGGCCUUCGGGUCGUAAAGCCCUUUUGCGAGGGACGAUAAUGACGGUACCUCGCGAAUAAGCCACGGCUAACUACGUGCCAGCAGCCGCGGUAAUACGUAGGUGGCAAGCGUUGUCCGGAUUUACUGGGCGUAAAGGGCGUGCAGGCGGUCUGUUAAGUCUAGGGUGAAAGCUCCCGGCUCAACUGGGAGAGGUCCUUGGAU
rnacentral:rRNA from 1 species